ensembl:lncRNA
CAUAAGCAAAACUGGAAUGUCACAGCAAAGAGGAAUAUGCCGCACCCUUCCCCCUACAGUCAUUCUAGGUGGCACAGGGCUCCACAGCACCCUCUUAAAAGCCCCAAAUUCCUACCAAAGGAGCUCCUGCAUCCACGGUCCUCUCAAUGCCUCAGGCAAGAAGGGCCCACCCAAGGAGCCGGGAUUCUCCUGAGCAGGAGGCCUGCAGACUUCAGCCUUCUCCUUGGUAUGGUACCAGGCUGAGGAUUUCUAAACCUGCCUCCGUUCUAAAGAAUCCACAACCGAGGGCUGUAGAAAGGCAGGAAGGAAAGCACCUACAGGCACCCUUCAUGCCGCCAUGGGCCAGCCAAACCACCGUGGAAAAGCUCUCUGACAUGUGGAGACACCCUUCAAGAGGUGGCCAAGGCAAAAUCCCUAUCUUCAGAGGCUUGGGAAGCACCCCACUCCCACCCUACUCUGUCCAGCUCACUCUUACCCAUUCUUUGAGUCUCAACUCAAGUUCAUUUCUUCCCCUGACCCCUCCAGGAUCAGAUUCUAUGUAUUUCCCAUCAUCAAGUGUAAUACAGGAUAUUAAUGCA